rnacentral:rRNA from 1 species
UACAGAGGUCUCAAGCGUUGUUCGGAUUUAUUGGGCUUAAAGGGUGCGUAGGCGGCCCGGUAAGUCAGUGGUGAAAGCCUCCAGCUCAACUGGAGAACUGCCAUUGAUACUGCCGGGCUUGAGUACAGACGAGGUUGGCGGAAUUGAUUGUGUAGCGGUGAAAUGCAUAGAUACAAUCAAGAACUCCGAUUGCGUAGGCAGCUAACUAGGCUGUAACUGACGCUGAGGCACGAAAGCGUGGGGAGCGAACAGG